rnacentral:rRNA from 1 species
CGUACACUCCUGCGGGAGGCAGCAGUGGGGAAUAUUGGACAAUGGGCGCAAGCCUGAUCCAGCCAUGCCGCGUGAGUGAUGAAGGCCCUAGGGUUGUAAAGCUCUUUCACCGGUGAAGAUAAUGACGGUAACCGGAGAAGAAGCCCCGGCUAACUUCGUGCCAGCAGCCGCGGUAAUACGAAGGGGGCUAGCGUUGUUCGGAUUUACUGGGCGUAAAGCGCACGUAGGCGGACUAUUAAGUCAGGGGUGAAAUCCCGGGGCUCAACCCCGGAACUGCCUUUGAUACUGGUAGUCUUGAGUUCGAGAGAGGUGAGUGGAAUUCCGAGUGUAGAGGUGAAAUUCGUAGAUAUUCGGAGGAACACCAGUGGCGAAGGCGGCUCACUGGCUCGAUACUGACGCUGAGGUGCGAAAGCGUGGGGAGCAAACAGGAUUAGAUACCCUUGUAGUCCCAUGA